rnacentral:rRNA from 1 species
AGAGUUUGAUCCUGGCUCAGGACGAACGCUGGCGGCAUGCCUAACACAUGCAAGUCGAACGAGAAAGUUCCUUCGGGAGCAAUUAAAGUGGCGCACGGGUGAGUAACGCGUAGACAAUCUGUCCUUCAGUCUGGGACAACUUUUCGAAAGGAGAGCUAAUACCGGAUAACAAUGCAUGACACAAGUUGUAUAUUUGAAAGCUUUAUGUGCUGAAGGAGGGGUCUGCGUCCCAUUAGCUAGUUGGUAAGGUAAAGGCUUACCAAGGCAACGAUGGGUAGCGGGUUUGAGAGGACGAUCCGCCACACUGGAACUGAGACACGGUCCAGACUCCUACGGGAGGCAGCAGUGGGGAAUAUUGCACAAUGGAGGCAACUCUGAUGCAGCAAUGUCGCGUGAGUGAAGAAGGCCCUUGGGUCGUAAAGCUCUUUUAUGGGGGAAGAUGAUGACGGUACCCCAAGAAUAAGCACCGGCUAACUUCGUGCCAGCAGCCGCGGUAAUACGAGGGGUGCUAGCGUUGUCCGGAUUUACUGGGCGUAAAGCGUGCGUAGGCGGAGAGAUAAGUUUGGCGUGAAAUCCCCGGGCCCAACCCGGAAAAUGCGCUAAAAACUAUUUCCCUAGAGGAUUGGAGGGGAGACUGGAAUUCCUGGUGUAGCAGUGAAAUGCGUAGAUAUCAGGAGGAACACCGGUGGCGAAGGCGAGUCUCUGGACAAUUCCUGACGCUGAGGUACGAAGGCCAGGGUAGCGAAAAGGAUUAGAUACCCUUGUAGUCCUGGCAGUAAACGGUGUGCACUUGCUGUAGGAGGAUUCGACCCCUUCUGUGGCGAAGCUAACGCGUUAAGUGCACCGCCUGGGGAGUACGGCCGCAAGGUUAAAACUCAAAGAAAUUGACGGGGGCCUGCACAAGCGGUGGAGCAUGUGGCUUAAUUCGAUGCAACGCGAAGAACCUUACCUGGGCUUGACAUGUAUGUCGUAGUCUUUCGAAAGUUAGACGUCAGUUCGGCUGGACAUUCACAGGUGCUGCAUGGCUGUCGUCAGCUCGUGUCGUGAGAUGUUGGGUUAAGUCCCGCAACGAGCGCAACCCCUAUGUCCUGUUGCCACAGGAGACUCGUUCUCCUAGCACUCUGGACAGACUGCCCCAUUUGAAUGGGGAGGAAGGUGGGGAUGACGUCAAGUCAGUAUGGCCCUUACGCCCAGGGCUGCACACGUGCUACAAUGCCCGGUACAAUGGGAAGCUAGAUCGCGAGAUGGAGCAAAUCCCUAAAGCCGGGCCCAGUUCGGAUUGGAGUCUGCAACUCGACUCCAUGAAGUCGGAAUCGCUAGUAACGGCGUAUCAGCUACGACGCCGUGAAUACGUUCCCAGGCCUUGUACACACCGCCCGUCACAUCAUGAAAGCCGGGGGCACCCGAAGCCUGCGAUUACGUGGUCUAAGGUGAACUUGGUGAUUGGGAUGAAGUCGUAACAAGGUAACC